rnacentral:rRNA from 1 species
GGCGGACGGGUGAGUAAUGCAUAGGAAUCUGCCCGAUAGUGGGGGAUAACCUGGGGAAACCCAGGCUAAUACCGCAUACGUCCUACGGGAGAAAGGGGGCUCCGGCUCCCGCUAUCGGAUGAGCCUAUGUCGGAUUAGCUGGUCGGUGAGGUAAAGGCUCACCAAGGCGACGAUCCGUAGCUGGUCUGAGAGGAUGAUCAGCCACAUCGGGACUGAGACACGGCCCGAACUCCUACGGGAGGCAGCAGUGGGGAAUAUUGGACAAUGGGGGGAACCCUGAUCCAGCCAUGCCGCGUGUGUGAAGAAGGCCCUCGGGUUGUAAAGCACUUUCAGUGAGGAAGAACGCCUGGUGGUUAAUACCCAUCAGGAAAGACAUCACUCACAGAAGAAGCACCGGCUAACUCCGUGCCAGCAGCCGCGGUAAUACGGAGGGUGCAAGCGUUAAUCGGAAUUACUGGGCGUAAAGCGCGCGUAGGUGGCUUGAUAAGCCGGUUGUGAAAGCCCCGGGCUCAACCUGGGAACGGCAUCCGGAACUGUCAAGCUAGAGUGCAGGAGAGGAAGGUAGAAUUCCCGGUGUAGCGGUGAAAUGCGUAGAGAUCGGGAGGAAUACCAGUGGCGAAGGCGGCCUUCUGGACUGACACUGACACUGAGGUGCGAAA